rnacentral:tRNA from 6 species
AGUAAAGUCAGCUAAACAAGCUAUCGGGCCCAUACCCCGAAAAUGUUGGUUCAACUCCUUCCUAUACUA